UUAACUCAAAUUUGUAUGGAGUUGGAAAGUUUGACUACGUUUGCCAUUAGGGGCGCGAUUCCAAUUCCAUACAAAUUUGAGAUA
rnacentral:pre_miRNA from 1 species